CCUACGGGUGGCAGCAGUGAGGAAUAUUGGUCAAUGGACGAGAGUCUGAACCAGCCAAGUAGCGUGAAGGAUGACUGCCCUAUUGGUUGUAAACUUCUUUUAUAUGGGAAUAAAAUGUUCCACGUGUGGGAUUUUGUAUGUACCAUAUGAAUAAGGAUCGGCUAACUCCGUGCCAGCAGCCGCGGUAAUACGGAGGAUCCGAGCGUUAUACGGAUUUAUUGGGUUUAAAGGGAGCGUAGGUGGAUUGUUAAGUCAGUUGUGAAAGUUUGCGGCUCAACCGUAAAAUUGCAGUUGAAACUGGCAGUCUUGAGUACAGUAGAGGUGUGCGGAAUUCGUGGUGUAGCGGUGAAAUGCUUAGAUAUCACGAAGAACUCCGAUUGCGAAGGCAGUUCACUGGACUGCAACUGACACUGAGGCUCGAAAGUGUGGGUAUCAAACAGGAUUAGAUACCCGGGUAGUC
rnacentral:rRNA from 1 species